UGGCGGAAUGCUUUACACAUGCAAGUCGAACGGCAGCACGGACUUCGGUCUGGUGGCGAGUGGCGAACGGGUGAGUAACAUAUCGGAACGUAUCCAAUAAUGGGGGAUAACUAAUCGAAAGGUUGGCUAAUACCGCAUACGCCCUACGGGGGAAAGCAGGGGAUCUUCGGACCUUGCGUUAAUGGAGCGGCUGAUAUCUGAUUAGCUAGUUGGUGAGGUAAAGGCUCACCAAGGCGACGAUCAGUAGCUGGUCUGAGAGGACGACCAGCCACACUGGAACUGAGACACGGUCCAGACUCCUACGGGAGGCAGCAGUGGGGAAUUUUGGACAAUGGGCGCAAGCCUGAUCCAGCCAUUCCGCGUGAGUGAAGAAGGCCUUCGGGUUGUAAAGCUCUUUCGCAAGGGAAGAAAACUUACCUUUUAAUAAAGGGUGAGGUUGACGGUACCUUGAUAAGAAGCACCGGCUAACUACGUGCCAGUAGCCGCGGUAAUACGUAGGGUGCGAGCGUUAAUCGGAAUUACUGGGCGUAAAGCGUGCGCAGGCGGUUUUGUAAGUCAGAUGUGAAAUCCCCGAGCUCAACUUGGGAACUGCGUUUGAAACUACAAGACUAGAAUAUGUCAGAGGGGGGUAGAAUUCCACGUGUAGCAGUGAAAUGCGUAGAGAUGUGGAGGAAUACCAAUGGCGAAGGCAGCCCCCUGGGAUAAUAUUGACGCUCAUGCACGAAAGCGUGGGGAGCAAACAGGAUUAGAUACCCUGGUAGUCCACGCCCUAAACGAUGUCUACUAGUUGUUGGUGGAGUAAAAUCCAUGAGUAACGCAGCUAACGCGUGAAGUAGACCGCCUGGGGAGUACGGUCGCAAGAUUA
rnacentral:rRNA from 1 species